UUUAAAUUAACUUACUUGCUUAAUUAUUUACUUUUAAUAAAUGACAAAAUUAAAUAGUGAUACGAUACGACAUAAUAAGAAAGAACACCACAUCAGAGAAAAGUUUUGGCAUUAAAACUUGGAAAGAAAGAAGCAUAACUCAAAAAGCGAACGUAUUGAGAUUCUGUCACGGGAUUCUAUAGCGAACGAAAAUAAAUAUUUUCUAACAGAGCGACUGGCGAUCCCCUCGGGAUCGGGUUGGCAUGGCGGUAUGACGUCGAUGCGCGUCCCGACGCUUCCAAGCGUCGUCGAAUCGAUUCGGGAAUAGAGUGGGAGUUGGGACAAAUUAUAACCUGUUUUUGAGUAAGGAUUAAAAAGAGAAAACGGGCUUGGAACGGAACACAUGACCUCAAUAGAACUAAUGUAUACAACGGAGACGUUUGCCUGUCGUCUUUGAAAAAAGGAACCAGAAAUUGCCUACACGUAUUUAGUACUAACACGUAUCUAUAAUAGCGCUUAUGAGACACUGUGCCGCAAAGAGCAAUAAAUAUUUGGGAAAAAUACACUAGACCCAGAAGUUUUUAUUAAGAGCAAUAUAUUAAAUAGUUUGG